CGGGGGUGUCAUAAGACCUGCUAAUUCUUUAACCUG
rnacentral:tRNA from 1 species